rnacentral:rRNA from 2 species
AGCAUCCGUAGCCGGCUGCUCAAGUUUCCGGUUAAAUCCACACGCUUAACGUAUGGGCUGCCGGAAAUACUGUUCAGCUAGGGAGUGGGAGAGGUAGACGGUACUCGAUAGGAAGGGGUAAAAUCCUUUGAUCUAUUGAUGACCACCUGUGGCGAAGGCGGUCCACCAGAACACGUUCGACGGUGAGGGAUGAAAGCUGGGGGAGCAAACCGGAUUAGAUACCCGGGUAGUCCCAGCUGUAAACGAUGCAGACUCGGUGAUGCAUUGGCUUAUGGCCAGUGCAGUGCCGCAGGGAAGCCGUUAAGUUUGCCGCCUGGGAAGUACGUACGCAAGUAUGAAACUUAAAGGAAUUGGCGGGGGAGCACAAGCCGAA